UACAGAGGGUGCGAGCGUGUUCGGAAUUAUUGGGCGUAAAGGGCGCGUAGGCGGUGCGGUAAGUCACCUGUGAAAUCUCCUGGCUCAACUGGGAGCUUGCAGGCGAAACUGCCGUGCUGGAGUGUGGGAGAGGUGAGUGGAAUUCCCGGUGUAGCGGUGAAAUGCGUAGAUAUCGGGAGAACACCUGUGGCGAAAGCGGCUCACUGGACCACAACUGACGCUGAGGCGCGAAAGCUAGGGGAGCAAACAGG
rnacentral:rRNA from 1 species